rnacentral:rRNA from 1 species
CGGGUGAGUAACACAUCGGAACGUGCCCAGUAGUGGGGGAUAGCCCGGCGAAAGCCGGAUUAAUACCGCAUACGACCUACGGGUGAAAGCGGGGGAUCGCAAGACCUCGCGCUAUUGGAGCGGCCGAUGUCGGAUUAGCUUGUUGGUGAGGUAAAAGCUCACCAAGGCGACGAUCCGUAGCUGGUCUGAGAGGACGACCAGCCACACUGGGACUGAGACACGGCCCAG